rnacentral:rRNA from 1 species
UACGGAGGGAGCUAGCGUUGUUCGGAAUUACUGGGCGUAAAGCGUGCGUAGGCGGCUAUUCAAGUCAGAGGUGAAAGCCUGGAGCUCAACUCCAGAACUGCCUUUGAAACUAGAUAGCUAGAAUCUUGGAGAGGUGAGUGGAAUUCCGAGUGUAGAGGUGAAAUUCGUAGAUAUUCGGAAGAACACCAGUGGCGAAGGCGACUCACUGGACAAGUAUUGACGCUGAGGUACGAAAGCGUGGGGAGCAAAC